GACGAACGCUGGCGGCGUGCCUAAUACAUGCAAGUCGAACGCAGUGGGGACGGGUGAGUAACAAGUGGGUAACCUCCCAUCAGAGGGGAGAACACGUGGAAACAGGUGCUAAACCGAUACUGAUGGAUGGACCCGCGGUGCAUUAGCUAGUUGGUGGGGUAACGGCUCACCAAGGCCACGAGGCAUAGGUGACCUGAGAGUGUGGUCGGCAACACUGGGACUGAGACACGGUCCAGACUCCUCCGAGAGGCAGCAGUAGAGAAUCUUGGGCAAUGGACGAAAGUCUGACCGAGCAACGCCGCGUGAGUGAAGAAGGUUUUCGGAUCGUAAAACGCUGUUGUGAGAGAAGCGGUAUCUAACCAGAAAGCCACGGCUAACUACGUGCCAGCAGCCGCGGUAAUUC
rnacentral:rRNA from 1 species